ACAGGAGCUGUGGACAUGCAUUAGUGGAGAGGUGUCAGAGUGGGACUGCUACACAGGGAGCACAGCAGAGCCCAAGUCCCUACCCACUGAGCAGCUGGACACCUUGUAAUUACCCAACAGACAACUUCAGAUUUGGAGAACAAAAGCACACCCUCAUGUUUGCAGAGAAGCAGUAUGGUCACACCUGUAUACAGAACACUGACCUUGCUUACAGCUACUGAUUAUAACCACCAGAACCCCCGACUUCCUGCUCGAAACCGUGAUGGAAACAAGAUGUCCUGAAGUUGCUGCAAUAAAAAUCAAAGAGCUGGAGUGUGAACGCCUUGAAAGAGACUACGACUACAUUUCACAGGGAGAAGCUGCUCCUAAUCUUUCUGUCUGCCUGUAUCUACAGCUGUGCAUCAUCAGAGCUCAGGUCCAUCAUAACAAAGCUCCAGGAUGGUGAAGAACCCCCCCCACCCCCCACCCCCCUCAA